rnacentral:rRNA from 1 species
CACGUAGGGGGCAAGCGUUGUCCGGAUUUAUUGGGCGUAAAGAGCUCGUAGGCGGCUCAGUAAGUCAGGUGUGAAACCUCCAGGCUCAACCUGGAGACGCCACCUGAUACUGCUGUGGCUAGAGUCCGGUAGGGGAGCGUGGAAUUCCUGGUGCAGCGGUGAAAUGCGCAGAUAUCAGGAGGAACACCAGCGGCGAAGGCGGCGCUCUGGGCCGGAACUGACGCUGAGGAGCGAAAGCGUGGGUAGCAAACAGG